CGCAGCCGCGGUAAUUCCAGCACCAAUAGCAUAUAUUAAAGUUGUUGCAGUUAAAAAGCUCGUAGUUGAAUUUCGGGAUCAAUAUUUCGGUCAUGCCGUUGGUAUGCACUGUUAUCAUUGAUUUCUCACCUUCUAAAGAACCGUAAUGCCAUUAAUUUGGUGUUACGGGGAAUUAGGACUGUUACCUUGAAAAAAUUAGAGUGUUUAAAGCAGGCUCACGCUUGAAUACAUUAGCAUGGAAUAAUGAAAUAGGACAUCCGAUUCUAUUUUGUUGGUUUCUAGGAUCGAUGUAAUGAUUAAUAGGGAUAGUUGGGGGCAUUAGUAUUCAAUUGUCAGAGGUGAAAUUCUUGGAUUUAU
rnacentral:rRNA from 1 species